rnacentral:rRNA from 1 species
AGAGUUUGAUCAUGGCUCAGAACGAACGCUGGCGGCGUGCCUAACACAUGCAAGUCGAGCGCGAAUAGGGGCAACCCUUAGUAGAGCGGCGCACGGGUGCGCAACACGUGGAUAAUCUGCCUGGAUGCCUGGGAUAACCAGUCGAAAGAUUGGCUAAUACCGGAUAAGCCCACGGUCUCUUCGGAGACUGAGGGAAAAGGUGGCCUCUGUAUACAAGCUAUCACAACCAGAUGAGUCCGCGGCCCAUCAGCUAGUUGGCGGGGUAAUGGCCCACCAAGGCGACGACGGGUAGCUGGUCUGAGAGGACGAUCAGCCACACUGGAACUGAGACACGGUCCAGACUCCUACGGGAGGCAGCAGUGGGGAAUUUUGCGCAAUGGGCGAAAGCCUGACGCAGCAACGCCGCGUGUGUGAUGAGGGUCUUUGGAUUGUAAAGCACUUUCGACCGGGACGAAACCGUAAAGCCUAAUACGCUUUGCCUUGACGGUACCGGGAGAAGAAGCACCGGCUAACUCUGUGCCAGCAGCCGCGGUAAUUC